rnacentral:rRNA from 1 species
UACGUAGGGGGCAAGCGUUGUCCGGAAUCAUUGGGCGUAAAGCGCGUGUAGGCGGUUCGGUAAGUCGGCUGUGAAAGUCCAGGGCUCAACCCUGGAAAGCCGGUGGAUACUGUCGGGCUCGAGUCCGGAAGAGGCGAGUGGAAUUCCUGGUGUAGCGGUGGAAUGCGCAGAUAUCAGGAGGAACACCAAUGGCGAAGGCAGCUCGCUGGGACGGUACUGACGCUGAGACGCGAAAGCGUGGGGAGCGAACAGG